CCCUUUGUGAUUCAUGACUGGGGUGAAGUCGUAACAAGGUAACCGUAGGGGAACCUGCGGUUGGAUCACCUCCUUA
rnacentral:rRNA from 1 species